CAAAACUCGAGUUAGAUGUUAAAGUAUUUGAAUUGUGUGUUGCUGCUUGACUCAUUGUUUGAGUAGCUCAAGCUCGAAUUUGGUUCCAAAAGAAUGACUUGAGUUUGGGUCUUUAUUUUUUCCAAGUUAGAAUUGGGAUAACUCACAAAAAGCCUCUCUCUUCUUCACUCUCUGUCUCCUCCUCAUCGUAAUCAUCCUCAACGACGAUUGCGAAUCCCCAUUUUAGCAACCCAUUCACUCGAAUUUCUCAUUUGUUUCCCAAUUUUGAAAAUUCUGUCAUCAUUUCAAUGUCUCCAAGUAAUAUCUGUCUUUCCUAACAAAUUUCAGACCUGGAAUUGCUUGGAUAUCGACCUCUUUAGGAGUCACGAACUGCUUAGGUAAAGGUGAUGAACGGCGUACUAGUAGCGAUAACGCGAAGGUUCCGUUGUAGAUUGACGUUUAUUUGCCGAGAGGAAUUCAACCUUAUCUCGAAAAACCUAUUGGAAAAUGGUUGCUCGCUUGGCCUUGUAUAUGGAAAGACUUCCUAUUCUUCUUAUUCCUCGAAUCUUUGCUCCUUUUGGUUUUAGAAUUUGUCUGAAAGUUUGUUGCUUUGGCAUGAAACUCUUUUACGUUUUUGUAGGUCAAUUACAUUGACAUCAACACCUGGGUGUCGUCCUGAUUUUAAGAUGAUGCCUUUAUUCGAUUUCGGGGCUUUGCUUUUGAAGGGUGCUGGUUGUACCGUCAAUGACCUCCUUGAUCGGGAAUCGGGAUAUUGAUACUAUGGUUUGUGUCCGACAAGUGGUUUGGUGCGCUUGUAUUCAUUGGGAUUUUAUUUGGAGGAGUCUUCUCUUGAACGUAUACUUUGUACCUGUGGUUUCUUUUGUACAAAAGAAAAAAAAAGUCCUUUUUAAAGCUCAUAAUGAAUUCAACUAUUGAAGCAUAUUGUGAUGACGGAAAAAGUAUGAUUAAAUUGUUUAGGGAUAAGGGGUAUUGACAUAUAUCGUACGGAAGUUAUAUAUAUCCUGGAAUGGAUGGUACUUGUCUUUGAAGCAUUCAAA